GUGCAAAAGUAAUUGUAGUUUUUGCUAUUUCAGUGACAAAAACCACAAUUACUUUUGCACCA
rnacentral:miRNA from 1 species